rnacentral:rRNA from 1 species
CAAUAGCGUAUAUUUAAGUUGUUGCAGUUAAAAAGCUCGUAGUUGGAUUUCGGGUGGGACGCAGCGGUCUCGCAUUGCGUUUGUACUGCUGCAGCCCUCCUUCUUGCCGGGGGCGGCCUCUCGGACUUCACUGUCUGGGGGUCAGAAUCGGCGAUGUUACUUUGAGUAAAUUAGAGUGUUCAAAGCAAGCUUACGCUCUGAAUAUAAUAGCAUGGGAUAACACGACAGGACUCUGGCCUAUCGUGUUGGUCUAUAGGACCAGAGUAAUGAUUAAGAGGGACAGUCGGGGGCAUUCGUAUUCCGUUGUCAGAGGUGAAAUUCUUGGAUUUACGGAAGACGAACAUCUGCGAAAGCAUUUGCCAAGGAUGUUUUCACUG